GUGCAUAACGGGGCUAUAAUGCAGUCGACGCUUCUUUUUCCACCGGAGCUUGCUCCACCGGAAAAAGAGGAGUGGCGAACGGGUGAGUAACACGUGGGUAACCUGCCCAUCAGAAGGGGAUAACACUUGGAAACAGGUGCUAAUACCGUAUAACAAUCGAAACCGCAUGGUUUUGAUUUGAAAGGCGCUUUCGGGUGUCGCUGAUGGAUGGACCCGCGGUGCAUUAGCUAGUUGGUGAGGUAACGGCUCACCAAGGCGACGAUGCAUAGCCGACCUGAGAGGGUGAUCGGCCACAUUGGGACUGAGACACGGCCCAAACUCCUACGGGAGGCAGCAGUAGGGAAUCUUCGGCAAUGGACGAAAGUCUGACCGAGCAACGCCGCGUGAGUGAAGAAGGUUUUCGGAUCGUAAAACUCUGUUGUUAGAGAAGAACAAGGAUGAGAGUAACUGUUCAUCCCUUGACGGUAUCUAACCAGAAAGCCACGGCUAACUACGUGCCAGCAGCCGCGGUAAUACGUAGGUGGCAAGCGUUGUCCGGAUUUAUUGGGCGUAAAGCGAGCGCAGGCGGUUUCUUAAGUCUGAUGUGAAAGCCCCCGGCUCAACCGGGGAGGGUCAUUGGAAACUGGGAGACUUGAGUGCAGAAGAGGAGAGUGGAAUUCCAUGUGUAGCGGUGAAAUGCGUAGAUAUAUGGAGGAACACCAGUGGCGAAGGCGGCUCUCUGGUCUGUAACUGACGCUGAGGCUCGAAAGCGUGGGGAGCAAACAGGAUUAGAUACCCUGGUAGUCCACGCCGUAAACGAUGAGUGCUAAGUGUUGGAGGGUUUCCGCCCUUCAGUGCUGCAGCUAACGCAUUAAGCACUCCGCCUGGGGAGUACGACCGCAAGGUUGAAACUCAAAGGAAUUGACGGGGGCCCGCACAAGCGGUGGAGCAUGUGGUUUAAUUCGAAGCAACGCGAAGAACCUUACCAGGUCUUGACAUCCUUUGACCACUCUAGAGAUAGAGCUUCCCCUUCGGGGGCAAAGUGACAGGUGGUGCAUGGUUGUCGUCAGCUCGUGUCGUGAGAUGUUGGGUUAAGUCCCGCAACGAGCGCAACCCUUAUUGUUAGUUGCCAUCAUUUAGUUGGGCACUCUAGCAAGACUGCCGGUGACAAACCGGAGGAAGGUGGGGAUGACGUCAAAUCAUCAUGCCCCUUAUGACCUGGGCUACACACGUGCUACAAUGGGAAGUACAACGAGUCGCAAAGUCGCGAGGCUAAGCUAAUCUCUUAAAGCUUCUCUCAGUUCGGAUUGUAGGCUGCAACUCGCCUACAUGAAGCCGGAAUCGCUAGUAAUCGCGGAUCAGCACGCCGCGGUGAAUACGUUCCCGGGCCUUGUACACACCGCCCGUCACACCACGAGAGUUUGUAACACCCGAAGUCGGUGAGGUAACCUUUUGGAGCCAGCCGCCUAAGGUGGGAUAGAUGAUUGGGGUGAAGUCGAAUCGACGUUUCUCAC
rnacentral:rRNA from 1 species